rnacentral:rRNA from 1 species
UACAGAGGGUGCGAGCGUUAAUCGGAAUUACUGGGCGUAAAGCGUGCGUAGACGGCUAUCUAAGUCGGGUGUGAAAGCCCCGGGCUCAACCUGGGAAUGGCCGUUGAAACUGGCGAACUGGAGUGUGGCAGAGGGGGGGUGGAAUUCCGCGUGUAGCAGUGAAAUGCGUAGAGAUGCGGAGGAACACCGAUGGCGAAGGCAGCCCCCUGGGCUGACACUGACGCUCAGGCACGAAAGCGUGGGGAGCAAACAGG